UUAAAUUGAAGAGUUUGAUCAUGGCUCAGAUUGAACGCUGGCGGCAGGCCUAACACAUGCAAGUCGAGCGGAAACGAGUUAUCAGAACCUUCGGGGGACGAUA
rnacentral:rRNA from 1 species